UUUCAUCUUCCUGAGAGUCCAGAAGCCUCCCCGUCAGAAGUGUGUUAACAGCAUUUCAGCCCAUUUCAGGGUGAAGGACAGUUUGUCAUCUAAGUGUUUUAACCCUCUUAGGGAGAAAGUACAUAGACUGAAGAGAAUUUGACAGAACGAAGACUCAAUCACACGCUGUGUACCCGACCCUGUUACAGGUGGC